AGAGUUUGAUCCUGGCUCAGGAUGAACGCUAGCUACAGGCUUAACACAUGCAAGUCGAGGGGCAGCAUUUUAGUUUGCUUGCAAACUGAAGAUGGCGACCGGCGCACGGGUGAGUAACACGUAUCCAACCUGCCGAUAACUCCGGGAUAGCCUUUCGAAAGAAAGAUUAAUACCGGAUAGCAUACGAAUAUCGCAUGAUAUUUUUAUUAAAGAAUUUCGGUUAUCGAUGGGGAUGCGUUCCAUUAGUUUGUUGGCGGGGUAACGGCCCACCAAGACAACGAUGGAUAGGGGUUCUGAGAGGAAGGUCCCCCACAUUGGAACUGAGACACGGUCCAAACUCCUACGGGAGGCAGCAGUGAGGAAUAUUGGUCAAUGGGCGAGAGCCUGAACCAGCCAAGUAGCGUGAAGGAUGACUGCCCUAUGGGUUGUAAACUUCUUUUAUAAAGGAAUAAAGUCGGGUAUGCAUACCCGUUUGCAUGUACUUUAUGAAUAAGGAUCGGCUAACUCCGUGCCAGCAGCCGCGGUAAUACGGAGGAUCCGAGCGUUAUCCGGAUUUAUUGGGUUUAAAGGGAGCGUAGGUGGAUUGUUAAGUCAGUUGUGAAAGUUUGCGGCUCAACCGUAAAAUUGCAGUUGAAACUGGCAGUCUUGAGUACAGUAGAGGUGGGCGGAAUUCGUGGUGUAGCGGUGAAAUGCUUAGAUAUCACGAAGAACUCCGAUUGCGAAGGCAGCUCACUAGACUGUCACUGACACUGAUGCUCGAAAGUGUGGGUAUCAAACAGGAUUAGAUACCCUGGUAGUCCACACAGUAAACGAUGAAUACUCGCUGUUUGCGAUAUACAGUAAGCGGCCAAGCGAAAGCAUUAAGUAUUCCACCUGGGGAGUACGCCGGCAACGGUGAAACUCAAAGGAAUUGACGGGGGCCCGCACAAGCGGAGGAACAUGUGGUUUAAUUCGAUGAUACGCGAGGAACCUUACCCGGGCUUAAAUUGCAACAGAAUAUAUUGGAAACAGUAUAGCCGUAAGGCUGUUGUGAAGGUGCUGCAUGGUUGUCGUCAGCUCGUGCCGUGAGGUGUCGGCUUAAGUGCCAUAACGAGCGCAACCCUUAUCUUUAGUUACUAACAGGUCAUGCUGAGGACUCUAGAGAGACUGCCGUCGUAAGAUGUGAGGAAGGUGGGGAUGACGUCAAAUCAGCACGGCCCUUACGUCCGGGGCUACACACGUGUUACAAUGGGGGGUACAGAAGGCGGCUACCUGGUGACAGGAUGCUAAUCCCAAAAACCUCUCUCAGUUCGGAUCGAAGUCUGCAACCCGACUUCGUGAAGCUGGAUUCGCUAGUAAUCGCGCAUCAGCCAUGGCGCGGUGAAUACGUUCCCGGGCCUUGUACACACCGCCCGUCAAGCCAUGAAAGCCGGGGGUACCUGAAGUACGUAACCGCAAGGAGCGUCCUAGGGUAAAACUGGUAAUUGGGGCUAAGUCGUAACAAGGUAGCCGUACCGGAAGGUGCGGCUG
rnacentral:rRNA from 1 species